rnacentral:rRNA from 1 species
GUGGGGAAUAUUGGACAAUGGGCGCAAGCCUGAUCCAGCCAUACCGCGUGGGUGAAGAAGGCCUUCGGGUUGUAAAGCCCUUUUGUUGGGAAAGAAAUCCUGUCGGUUAAUACCUGGUGGGGAUGACGGUACCCAAAGAAUAAGCACCGGCUAACUUCGUGCCAGCAGCCGCGGUAAUACGAAGGGUGCAAGCGUUACUCGGAAUUACUGGGCGUAAAGCGUGCGUAGGUGGUGGUUUAAGUCCGUUGUGAAAGCCCUGGGCUCAACCUGGGAAUUGCAGUGGAUACUGGAUCACUAGAGUGUGGUAGAGGGAUGCGGAAUUUCUGGUGUAGCAGUGAAAUGCGUAGAGAUCAGAAGGAACAUCCGUGGCGAAGGCGGCAUCCUGGGCCAACACUGACACUGAGGCACGAAAGCGUGGGGAGCAAACAGGAUUAGAAACCCGAGUAGUCC